UUUCCGUAGGUGAACCUGCGGAAGGAUCAUUACUGAGUGAGGGCCCCUCGGGGUCCAACCUCCCACCCGUGUUUAACGAGCCUUGUUGCUUCGGCGGGCCCGCCUCACGGCCGCCGGGGGGCAUCUGCCCCCGGGCCCGCGCCCGCCGAAGCCACCUGUGAACGCUGUCUGAAGUAUGCAGUCUGAGACAAUUAUUAAAUUAAUUAAAACUUUCAACAACGGAUCUCUUGGUUCCG
rnacentral:misc_RNA from 1 species